rnacentral:rRNA from 1 species
GACAGAGGCCUCAAGCGUUAGGCGGAAUCACUGGGCUUAAAGCGUGUGUAGGCGGAUCGUUAAGUGUCUUGUGAAAUCCCACGGCUCACCCGUGGAACUGCUGGGCAUACUGGCGAUCUUGGGCCAACUAGGGGCAGCCGGAACAAGCGGUGGAGCGGUGAAAUGCGUAGAUAUCGCUUGGAACGCCGAAGGUGAAAACAGGCUGCUGGGGUUGUGGCCG